GAUGAACGCUGGCGGCGUGCCUAAUACAUGCAAGUCGAGCGAACGGACGAGAAGCUUGCUUCUCUGAUGUUAGCGGCGGACGAGUGAGUAACACGUGGAUAACCUACCUAUAAGACUGGGAUAACUUCGGGAAACCGGAGCUAAUACCGGAUAAUAUUUUGAACCGCAUGGUUCAAAAGUGAAAGACGGUCUUGCUGUCACUUAUAGAUGGAUCCGCGCUGCAUUAGCUAGUUGGUAAGGUAACGGCUUACCAAGGCAACGAUGCAUAGCCGACCUGAGAGGGUGAUCGGCCACACUGGAACUGAGACACGGUCCAGCCUCCUACGGGAGGCAGCAGUAGGGAAUCUUCCGCAAUGGGCGAAAGCCUGACGGAGCAACGCCGCGUGAGUGAUGAAGGUCUUCGGAUCGUAAAACUCUGUUAUUAGGGAAGAACAUAUGUGUAAGUAACUGUGCACAUCUUGACGGUACCUAAUCAGAAAGCCACGGCUAACUACGUG
rnacentral:rRNA from 1 species